GGUUUACGGCUUGAGGAUUCAUCACAGAUUCAUUGGUUGAGAUGAGUUUUCACAUACCCAAUUCCAACAUUCAGUUUGUUGGGGAUGAAAACAAGUCUUAUGGAUGGUUUCCGGUGGAGAAAAUAUGGGCAGAAAGUUGUGAAGGGAAAUCCUUAUCCAAGAAGUUACUACAGAUGCACUGGUGUUAAGUGCAAUGUUCGGAAACAUGUGGAAAGAGCAUCAAAUGAUCCAAGUGUUUUCAUCACUACAUAUGAAGGUAAACUACAU